rnacentral:rRNA from 1 species
UACGUAGGGUGCAAGCGUUGUCCGGAAUUAUUGGGCGUAAAGAGCUCGUAGGCGGUUUGUCGCGUCUGCUGUGAAAUCCCGAGGCUCAACCUCGGGCCUGCAGUGGGUACGGGCAGACUAGAGUGCGGUAGGGGAGAUUGGAAUUCCUGGUGUAGCGGUGGAAUGCGCAGAUAUCAGGAGGAACACCGAUGGCGAAGGCAGGUCGUCUGGGCAUUAACUGACGCUGAGGAGCGAAAGCAUGGGGAGCGAACAGG